rnacentral:rRNA from 1 species
CUACGGGCGGCACCAGUAGGGAAUCUUCGGCAAUGGACGGAAGUCUGACCGAGCAACGCCGCGUGAGUGAAGAAGGUUUUCGGAUCGUAAAGCUCUGUUGUAAGAGAAGAACGAGUGUGAGAGUGGAAAGUUCACACUGUGACGGUAUCUUACCAGAAAGGGACGGCUAACUACGUGCCUGCAGCCGCGGUAAUACGUAGGUCCCGAGCGUUGUCCGGAUUUAUUGGGCGUAAAGCGAGCGCAGGCGGUUAGAUAAGUCUGAAGUUAAAGGCUGUGGCUUAACCAUAGUACGCUUUGGAAACUGUUUAACUUGAGUGCAGAAGGGGAGAGUGGAAUUCCAUGUGUAGCGGUGAAAUGCGUAGAUAUAUGGAGGAACACCGGUGGCGAAAGCGGCUCUCUGGUCUGUAACUGACGCUGAGGCUCGAAAGCGUGGGGAGCAAACAGGAUUAGAUACCCUUGUAGUC